rnacentral:lncRNA from 1 species
GUUACGCAGCCUGUUCGCGGGUUCGAGGUUUUCUCCUGCGAAAUUAAUGCAACUGCACAAAACUAAAUGCCUCCUUUCAUUCAUUCAUGCAUGUAGUUAUUUCAUGUAUAAACAACAUUUCAAUGGAUUUAAACUUUUCCGUGAGUAUAUCUACACGUAUCAAAAACACUUUAACUGGAAUGCAGAAAGAUUUUCUAGAUGGAAAUUUCGAGUGUAAAUUUUAUACAUUUAGACCUAACCAGGUGCAGCUGCGGAAAAUUCAAAUAUAGAUCCUCGGGAACGCAGCUUCUUCCAUUUAGGGGCAGAUUACAGAUUUAGGGGCAGGUUACAGAUUUAGGGGCAGAUUACAGAUUUUGGGGCAGGUUACAGAUUUAGGGGCAGAUUACAGAUUUAGGGGCAGGUUACAGAUUUAGGGGCAGAUUACAGAUUUAGGGGCAGAUUACAGAUUUAGGGGCAGGUUACAGAUUUAGGGG